rnacentral:rRNA from 1 species
AUUGAACGCUGGCGGCAGGCCUAACACAUGCAAGUCGAGCGAGAGGCGGACGGGUGAGUAAUGUGUGGGGACCUUCCCGCUGGAGGGGGAUAACUCCUGGAAACGGUGGCUAAUACCGCAUACCAUCGGAUGUACCCAUAUGGGAUUAGCUAGUGGGUGGGGUAAAGGCUCACCUAGGCGCCGAUCCCUAGCUGGUCUGAGAGGAUGAUCAGCCACACUGGAACUGAGACACGGCCCAGACUCCUACGGGAGGCAGCAGUGGGGAAUAUUGCACAAUGGGCGCAAGCCUGAUGCAGCCAUGCCGCGUGUAUGAAGAAGGCCUUAGGGUUGUAAAGUACUUUCAGCGAGGAGGCGUUACUCGCAGAAGAAGCACCGGCUAACUCCGUGCCAGCAGCCGCGGUAAUAC